UCAAUUGGCGAUGAUGAGUAUGACUGGGCUGGAAAUACUCCUGCUUCUCAUGAAGUAUUGCAAGACUCCACAAUGGCCUCAAGGUUCGAAUAAGUAUUAAAUGUAAACACAAAGAUAAGCUACUGCAGCAGGAAAUCUCAAUUUUUGCAAUAGGUUGUAAACAAUAGAGUACAGAGUGAUUAAUCUUCAUUGAUUGGAUUAAAAGACACAAAGAAAGUUCCAAUAUGAAUCGGACCAUUCAAUUUUGUCGGCUUUUAUUUGUUUAGUUUAAAUAGUUUACUUGUAAACUAGUGAAUAGAUACCUACCGCACAAAUGCGAUCGUCAGCAAGCACUCUUCGGAAAUAGCUCGCAGGAGGCCUAAUCACAUCACAUCACUUCACCGCUUCCCUUCCCUUGUUUCACACUAAUCACACACGAGCAACACGAUCCCGAAGCCACCGAAGCAGCACAUCUCUAUAAACCACACACGAAUGAAGCUCACUUUCACAAAGACAUACCGCGAGAAUUUGGUAAGCUAAGCACAAUAUCUAGGUAUUUUUCCAUAUUUUUUAUUUUUUUUUGCAAACUGCACUCUUUCUCCGCUUUUUUAUUUGUAAACACAACCCGUCCGACGAGACGUGACUACCAGCACCGACUGACACCUGAUCGUUCUAGCGGAAAACCGCAGGCAAAUGCAGCGGAGCCGGUUUGGAAUAUUCCUCCUAACCACUGUCGUUGAAUCGAUCGGAUUCCUCUCGAAGACGACGCAGCGAAUUUGCGGUAUCAGUCUCUCACAUCUCAUCCCAGCCUUAACCUACGAUCCAUCAACACCUUACGAGUUACGACACCGGCAAGCAGAACAACCGCCCGGCUGCACAAGCCAUUGAUUACUGUAGUAUUGGCCAGCAAAGCGAAGCAAACCCGAAAAAUUAUAGAGUUCUUUAGUCUUUUCUUCUGCUUCGGUCGCAUCUUCGUGAGGUCGUCUCGAUCGUACGGUGUCGCUGGCUGGCUGGCGAUACGGUGCGAUGACUGUACCCGUCCCGCCAGUAUCCUCCGCACGGGGACGGUCCGGAACGAAUGAAAAUCCGAAGCGAUCGCGUAAAAAUUCUUAGCCGUUCGACUUUGCGGAAAACACCCUUCGAUUUUGAGGAUUUUGACCACCUUUUGAAGCUAUUCAACAUGUUGUCAAUAUGCACAUAAAAGUAUUUCUAUAGUCAGUCAAAUUAACUUUCAAGUAUGUAUGUACUAAAUUCAUUCAACAAAUUUAGUUCCGCGGCCAGUAUGCUAUUAUUGUAAUUGUAUGAAAAAAUAUUACGUCAGAAUGGUUAUUCAUACAUAAUAUAUCAAUCAGAAAUAAAA